AGCAAGGUGGCGCAGUGGUUUGCUUUGCUGAUUUGCAAUAAGGAGGUUCCGGGUUCCAGUCCUGGUCAGCUA